UACAGAGGUCCCAAGCGUUGUUCGGAUUUACUGGGCGUACAGGGAGCGUAGGCGGUUGGAUAAGCCCUCCGUGAAAUCUCCAGGCUUAACCUGGAAAGUGCAGAGGGGACUGUUCAGCUAGAGGAUGGGAGAGGAGCGCGGAAUUCCCGGUGUAGCGGUGAAAUGCGUAGAGAUCGGGAGGAAGGCCGGUGGCGAAGGCGGCGCUCUGGAACAUUUCUGACGCUGAGGCUCGAAAGCGUGGGGAGCAAACAGG
rnacentral:rRNA from 1 species